rnacentral:lncRNA from 1 species
GUUAGGACUUACUGUAUUUGAUUUGUAUACAAAGGCUAUGGGAUUAUAUUUACUCCCUCACAACAGUCCUAUGAGGUAAGUAUAGGACCCCUAUUUCUCAUAGGAGGCUCUGUAGCUUAGACAAGUGAAGCAACAAGCUAAGGUCACAUAUGCUGAGAGAUGAACCAAAGUCUGACCAACUCGGGAUCCUGCCAUGCUAAGUGCUCUUUGUCCUCUACUAACUGCUGACAGUUAAGCUACAUAUUAAAGAAUGAAGAGUUCACGAGCACAUACAGGCGUGUGUGAGUAUGUGUAAACAACAAACACUGAACCUGAUCCCGUGCGACUCAAAGUCCAGUCCUCUGACCAGUAGCACCAGCAACAGCUGGGAGCUUGUCGGAAAUACAGACCCUCAGGUCCCGCCCCGAACUGACUGAAUCAGACUCUGCUGUUUAACAAAAUCCCCGAGUGAUUCAUAGAGAUACUAAAGUUUGAGAAGCCCUGCUCUAAAUAAUCUCGUUUGAAUAGUCCAUCAAGCCUCAGAAGUUUUACCAUGAAAACAAUAAUACUGUUCGGACAAUGUGUUCUCAAUAGGCUUAUUGGUAACUUCUUUAUUGAUCAAACCUGAAUCUCUGGUAACAUGAAGAAUUGAAAACAUCUGGAUUCUGUUAGAAGCAUGGAACUCACUUGGGAAACUGGCUGCUAGUGUAUUGGACAUUCACAGCACAGCACUACCCCUGUGGUUUUAUAAAUAAACAUGAAACUCAAAUCUCCAAAACAACCACUAAGGCCUCUAAACCAAAACACCUCUGCCUGGGCAGAGGUGGCAAAGCAGUGGUUAACAUACGUCCCUAAUGUCAUUCAUUAGUAAUAUUUAAUUAUUUGUUUCAGUCACUCUGAAUAAAAUAGUUUGUUAAUUAUAGAUAAAAUCUCCUCUUUCUCUAUCAAUUUUUAUUUUGAGAGUUUAAUUCAUACUUUCCAGCAUCUCCUAAGAGCUUUUCUCUAUCGUCCCAAUCAAGUGAUCUCUCCUAUCUUGCUGUAAUCAACAAGAUGAUUUUUCUCCACUUCCACAAUUUUCUGUCUCUCAUUUAUGACUUUGAAAUCAGUAUGUCUUUCCCCGAUCUUUGCUACAAUAAACAAGCCUCUCUAACA